AGAAUCAACGCUGGCGGCGUGCCUAACACAUGCAAGUCGAACGAGAAAGUGGAGCAAUCCAUGAGUAAAGUGGCGCACGGGUGAGUAACACGUGACUAACCUACCCUUGAGUGGGGGAUAACCUAGAGAAAUCUGGGCUAAUACCGCAUAAUACCUUCGGGUCAAAGGAGCAAUUCGCUUAAGGAGGGGGUCGCGGCCGAUUAGUUAGUUGGCGGGGUAAUGGCCCACCAAGACUGUGAUCGGUAUCCGGCCUGAGAGGGCGCACGGACACACUGGAACUGAAACACGGUCCAGACUCCUACGGGAGGCAGCAGUGGGAAUUUGCGCAAUGGGGGAAACCCUGACGCAGCAACGCCGCGUGGAGGAUGAAGUCCCUUGGGACGUAAACUCCUUUCGAUCGGGACGAUUAUGACGGUACCGGAAGAAGAAGCCCCGGCUAACUUCGUGCCAGCAGCCGC
rnacentral:rRNA from 1 species